GCCACCGUAGCGCAGAGUUUAGCAUGUCCGCCUAUGACGCUGAGCGCCUGGGUUCGAAUUUCAGCGGUGGUU
rfam:Stomoxys calcitrans breed 8C7A2A5H3J4 unplaced genomic scaffold Scaffold104, whole genome shotgun sequence.